rnacentral:rRNA from 1 species
UACGUAGGGGGCUAGCGUUGUCCGGAAUCAUUGGGCGUAAAGAGCGUGUAGGCGGUCCGGUAAGUCCGCUGUGAAAGUCGGGGGCUCAACCCUCGAAUGCCGGUGGAUACUGUCGGGCUAGAGUGCGGAAGAGGCGAGUGGAAUUCCUGGUGUAGCGGUGAAAUGCGCAGAUAUCAGGAGGAACACCUAUUGCGAAGGCAGCUCGCUGGGACGUAACUGACGCUGAGGCACGAAAGUGUGGGUAGCAAACAGG